UUUAUGGGUUUAGUUCUACCAAACUCGUAAAGAAAUCAACAUCAUCAAAAAAGCACUCGACGGUGGUAUCCACACGACGUUACCCGUUACCGUUUGUUACCCCGUUACGUUCGUUACGACUUUUUGCUGCCGUGUGCUUUCGUGCGUGUGCGUGUGUGUCCGUCGGUGCGUGCGUGUGUGUGCGUGAGAAAGAGAGGGGGACCGGGACCGCCGCCCUCUACUACACAGUAUCCCAAAAAAAAGCAAAAAAAUACGUAUCAAACGCUUUUUGGGGGCUCUGAACAGAAGAACUACCGACUAUUCGGUCGCCUACGGUCGUCGCGGUUGUUACACCACACGCCACGCCUCCACAAAAACGCUCCCAUUGUCAAAAGGUUUUUCAAUUGACAGAUCGUAAAGAACAGAUCAUAAAAGCGAUAAAAACUAUCGAAAAUUAUCAUAAAAGCGAUAAAAAAUCAUCAUAAUCGUAAAAAAUAUUGUCGCCUCCUGUCGUCAGUCGCUCUGAGGCCCUUGACCGGCAACGACAUUACAAAACCGCGAAAAGAAAAACAAAGAAAAACAGAGAAGAGCGAGAGGACAAGCCCCAUAAGAAAAUUUCGCGCGCGCAAUUUUUCGAAGGUGGUGUCGAGCAGGUGUCUCCGGGUAUGCCUCAAUCCUCAAUUUGUGCAAUAUCUAUACCAGAAAAACCAUAAAAGAUAUAUCCGUAUAGGGAUUAUAUAAAUAACCGAUUCGUUGUGCAAAAUCCAAAGCCAAAAAAAUAGAUCCCUAAAAUCUAAGUGUUUUUUUACUAUAUUAAAUAUUAUAGUCUAUCGUAUAAUCCUCCAUUUGUUGUGCAGCAGCCUGAAAACUUGAAAACAAUCAACAUUAUCUAGUCCUUGAGCAAUAUUUACACACUUAAAACAUAUAAUACAAAAUUAAAUUAAAUUCCCAGCCUUAAAAAAAGACAGCCAAAAAAAAUAUUACAAAAGAAGAGCAAAAGUUUCAGCCGCAUCAAAAGUUUUUUGGUACGUGCAAAAAAGUUGGGGGCAGGCAACAUUGAGACCCCAGGAUUCCAAGGAUAAGAGUCAGUCACACACAUUAUUGGAUUUAAAAGUGCAAUUUGGAUUACUACGCUUCGGAUUUGGAUUAACUUCGCUCUGGAAAUUGUGGAUUAACCUCUCGAUUAGUGGAUUAACCUCUGGAUUAGUGGAUUACACUCUCUCGCGUCGUUGAAUGGAUAAACAAAGUGCAUUUCCUACAUGGAUUACAAGCGAAUAGCAGAAGCAGCAGAGCAGCGCAUCAUAAAAGGUAAACACGCAAACAGACAUUUUCCACAGCCACAGAGCCACACAGCCACAGAGGAGGAGGCGACAUACAGGCCAGAGGAGCAGAACGAGACACCUGUGUGAUGGCAUCUCCUCGCUCUGUCUCUGUGCAUGCCACAAGAAG